rnacentral:tRNA from 1 species
GCCUUCAUAGCUCAGUGGGCAGUGCGCUGGUCUAGUAAACCAGAGGUCGGGAGUUCGAGUCUCCCUGAAGGCA